GACGAACGCUGGCGGCGUGCUUAAUACAUGCAAGUCGAACGGAAAGGCCCUGCUUUUGUGGGGUGCUCGAGUGGCGAACGGGUGAGUAACACGUGAGUAACCUGCCCUUGACUUUGGGAUAACAUCAGGAAACAGGGGCUCAAACCGGAUAGGAGAUCCUGCAGCAUGGGGGGGGUUGGAAAGUUUCGGCGGUUGGGGAUGGACUCGCGGCUUAUCAGCUUGUUGGUGGGGUAGUGGCUUACCAAGGCUUUGACGGGUAGCCGGCCUGAGAGGGUGACCGGCCACAAUGGGACUGAGAUACGGCCCAGACGCCUACGGGAGGCAGCAGUGGGGAAUAUUGCGCAGUGGGCGGGAGCCUGAUGCAGCAACGCCGCGUGCGGGAAGACGGCCUUCGGGUUGUAAACCGCUUUCGCCUGUGACGAAGCGGGAGUGACGGUAAUUGGUAAAGAAGCACCGGCUAACUACGUG
rnacentral:rRNA from 1 species